rnacentral:rRNA from 1 species
ACGCACAGUCGAAGAGUGUGCUUGUCACCUCUUCAAGUGAGUGGCGGACGGGUGAGUAACACGUGGGACAACCGGCCUCGAGGCUGGGGAUAACAUUUGGAAACAGAUGCUGAUACCGAAUAAAACUUAGUGUCGCAUGACAAAAAGUUAAAAGGCGCUUCGGCGUCACCUAGAGAUGGAUCCGCGGUGCAUUAGUUAGUUGGUGGGGUAAAGGCCUACCAAGACAAUGAUGCAUAGCCGAGUUGAGAGACUGAUCGGCCACAUUGGGACUGAGACACGGCCCAAACUCCUACGGGAGGCUGCAGUAGGGAAUCUUCCACAAUGGGCGAAAGCCUGAUGGAGCAACGCCGCGUGUGUGAUGAAGGCUUUCGGGUCGUAAAGCACUGUUGUAUGGGAAGAACAGCUAGAAUAGGAAAUGAUUUUAGUUUGACGGUACCAUACCAGAAAGGGACGGCUAAAUACGUGCCAGCAGCCGCGGUAAUACGUAUGUCCCGAGCGUUAUCCGGAUUUAUUGGGCGUAAAGCGAGCGCAGACGGUUUAUUAAGUCUGAUGUGAAAGCCCGGAGCUCAACUCCGGAAUGGCAUUGGAAACUGGUUAACUUGAGUGCAGUAGAGGUAAGUGGAACUCCAUGUGUAGCGGUGGAAUGCGUAGAUAUAUGGAAGAACACCAGUGGCGAAGGCGGCUUACUGGACUGCAACUGACGUUGAGGCUCGAAAGUGUGGGUAGCAAACAGGAUUAGAUACCCUGGUAGUCCACACCGUAAACGAUGAACACUAGGUGUUAGGAGGUUUCCGCCUCUUAGUGCCGAAGCUAACGCAUUAAGUGUUCCGCCUGGGGAGUACGACCGCAAGGUUGAAACUCAAAGGAAUUGACGGGGACCCGCACAAGCGGUGGAGCAUGUGGUUUAAUUCGAAGCAACG